UUUCUAUAGUUUAAACUACAGUCUUUAUAAUGGUUAGAUUGAGGACAAGGUGCAGAACUUUAAGAUUACAAAUUGACUUCUGAGUUCAAAACGCAUAUUCGCGCGAUCUAAUUAACAUCCUACUGUUUUCUCAGAAAUCUUUUUAAAAUGUGAAUGUAGGUGUCCGAUACCUUCUUAGUAUUUAAAUAUACGUUAAGACUAUGAUUACUAUAAAAUAUUUAACUUAUACGGCAAAAAAUAGAAUUGAUACAAUUUACGACUUAUACUACUUUGAAAAAAAAAUU